rnacentral:rRNA from 1 species
GGUAUGAAUGGCUAAACGAGAAAUCUUCUUUUUUUAUUAUAAAUAUAGAAUUUAUUUUUUUAGUGAAAAAACUAAAAUAUUCCUGAAAGACGAGAAGACCCUAUAGAGUUUUAGACAGUAAGUUAUCAUAUUGCAUUAGAUUUGUGCCGAUAUGAUUUUAUUCUGUAAUUUGUUGGGGCGACAUUAAGAUAAAAAAAACUCUUUUUUAUAAAAACUUUGAUAAAUGAAUAAUUUGAUCCUUUAAAAAAGAUAAUAAGAUAAAAUUACCUUAGGGAUAACAGCGUAAUCUUUUUUGAGAGUUCUAAUCGACAAAAAGGUUUGCGACCUCGAUGUUGGACUAAAAUUUAGAUGUGGUGCAGCAGCUACAUUUUAGGGUCUGUUCGACCCAUAAUAUUUUACAUGAUCUGAGUUCAGACCGGCGUGAGCCAGGUUGGU